CCUACGGGGGGCAGCAGUGAGGAAUAUUGGUCAAUGGCCGAGAGGCUGAACCAGCCAAGUCGCGUGAGGGAAGACGGCCCUACGGGUUGUAAACCUCUUUUGUCGGGGAGCAAAGCGAGUCACGUGUGACUCAUUGAGAGUACCCGAAGAAACAGCAUCGGCUAACUCCGUGCCAGCAGCCGCGGUAAUACGGAGGAUGCGAGCGUUAUCCGGAUUUAUUGGGUUUAAAGGGUGCGCAGGCGGAGGUGCAAGUCAGCGGUCAAAUUGCGGGGCUCAACCCCGUACUGCCGUUGAAACUGCAGCCCUUGAGUGCGCGAGAAGUAUGCGGAAUGCGUGGUGUAGCGGUGAAAUGCAUAGAUAUCACGCAGAACUCCGAUUGCGAAGGCAGCAUACCGGCGCGCAACUGACGCUCAUGCACGAAAGCGUGGGUAUCGAACAGGAUUAGAUACCCCUGUAGUC
rnacentral:rRNA from 1 species